rnacentral:tRNA from 1 species
GACAAAAUAGUUUAAUUAAAAACUUCUAUUUUACACGUAGGGAAUGGCUGGUUUGCCUAUUGUCA